rnacentral:tRNA from 1 species
GAGACCUCUCCGCUAGAGCGCUGCCCUCCGAAGGCAGAGGUCACAGGUUCGAAUCCUGUCGGGUGCGCCA